UGCUGGUUUAGCUCAGUUGGUAGAGCAGCUGCCUUGUAAGCAGCAGGUCGGGGGUUCAAGUCCCUUAACCAGCUCCA
rnacentral:tRNA from 1 species